CCUACGGGUGGCUGCAGUGGGGAAUCUUGCACAAUGGGGGAAACCCUGAUGCAGCGACGCCGCGUGAGUGAAGAAGUAUUUCGGUAUGUAAAGCUCUGUCAGCAGGGAAGAAAAUGACGGUACCUGACGAAGAAGCCUCGGCUAACUACGUGCCAGCAGCCGCGGUAAUACGUAGGAGGAAAGCGUUAUCCGGAUUUACUGGGUGUAAAGAGAGGGUAGACGGAAGGGAAAGAUUGGAGUGAAAGGCGGGGGUUCAACCCUCGGACUGUUCUGGAAACUGCCAGGCUGGAGUGCAGGAGAGGUAAGUGGAAUUCCUAGUGUAGGGGUGAAAUGCGUAGAUAUUAGGAGGAACACCAGUGGCGAAGGCGGCUUACUGGACCGGAACUGACGUUGAGGCACGAAAGCGUGGGGAGCAAACAGGAUUAGAUACCCGAGUAGUC
rnacentral:rRNA from 1 species